rnacentral:rRNA from 1 species
UACGGAGGGUGCAAGCGUUAAUCGGAAUUACUGGGCGUAAAGCGCACGUAGGUGGUUUGCUAAGUCAGCUGUGAAAUCCCGGGCUCAACCUGGGCACUGCAGUUGAAACUGGCAAGCUAGAGUAGGGUAGAGGGGUGUGGAAUUCCAGGUGUAGCGGUGAAAUGCGUAGAUAUCUGGAGGAACAUCAGUGGCGAAGGCGACACCCUGGACUCAUACUGACACUGAGGUGCGAAAGCGUGGGGAGCGAACAGG